GGCGUGUGUGUGUGUGUGUGUGUGUGUGUGUGCGCGCACGUGCGCGUUUAUACAC
rnacentral:miRNA from 1 species